AGAGUUUGAUCCUGGCUCAGGACGAACGCUGGCGGCGCGCCUAACACAUGCAAGUCGAACGAGCGAGAGAGAGCUUGCUUUCUCGAGCGAGUGGCGAACGGGUGAGUAACGCGUGAGGAACCUGCCUCAAAGAGGGGGACAACAGUUGGAAACGACUGCUAAUACCGCAUAAGCCCACGGCUCGGCAUCGAGCAGAGGGAAAAGGAGCAAUCCGCUUUGAGAUGGCCUCGCGUCCGAUUAGCUAGUUGGUGAGGUAACGGCCCACCAAGGCGACGAUCGGUAGCCGGACUGAGAGGUUGAACGGCCACAUUGGGACUGAGACACGGCCCAGACUCCUACGGGAGGCAGCAGUGGGGAAUAUUGCACAAUGGGGGAAACCCUGAUGCAGCGACGCCGCGUGGAGGAAGAAGGUCUUCGGAUUGUAAACUCCUGUUGUUGAGGAAGAUAAUGACGGUACUCAACAAGGAAGUGACGGCUAACUACGUGCCAGCAGCCGCGGUAAAACGUAGGUCACAAGCGUUGUCCGGAAUUACUGGGUGUAAAGGGAGCGCAGGCGGGAAGACAAGUUGGAAGUGAAAUCUAUGGGCUCAACCCAUAAACUGCUUUCAAAACUGUUUUUCUUGAGUAGUGCAGAGGUAGGCGGAAUUCCCGGUGUAGCGGUGGAAUGCGUAGAUAUCGGGAGGAACACCAGUGGCGAAGGCGGCCUACUGGGCACCAACUGACGCUGAGGCUCGAAAGUGUGGGUAGCAAACAGGAUUAGAUACCCUGGUAGUCCACACCGUAAACGAUGAUUACUAGGUGUUGGAGGAUUGACCCCUUCAGUGCCGCAGUUAACACAAUAAGUAAUCCACCUGGGGAGUACGACCGCAAGGUUGAAACUCAAAGGAAUUGACGGGGGCCCGCACAAGCAGUGGAGUAUGUGGUUUAAUUCGACGCAACGCGAAGAACCUUACCAAGUCUUGACAUCCUGCGACGAUGCUGGAAACAGUAUUUUCCUUCGGGACGCAGAGACAGGUGGUGCAUGGUUGUCGUCAGCUCGUGUCGUGAGAUGUUGGGUUAAGU
rnacentral:rRNA from 1 species